AGCUGGUCCGAGUGCAGUGGUGUUAACAACUAAUUGAUCAUAACCAGUUACAGAUUCCUUUGCUCCGUCUCCACUCCCACUGCUUCACUUGAAUAGCUUAAA
rnacentral:Y_RNA from 1 species